GACGUAGGGUGCGAGCGUUGUCCGGAUUUAUUGGGCGUAAAGAGCUCGUAGGCGGUCUGUUGCGUCUGCUGUGAAAACUCGGGGCUUAACCCCGGGCCUGCAGUGGGUACGGGCAGACUAGAGUGCGGUAGGGGAGACUGGAAUUCCUGGUGUAGCGGUGAAAUGCGCAGAUAUCAGGAGGAACACCGGUGGCGAAGGCGGGUCUCUGGGCCGUAACUGACGCUGAGGAGCGAAAGCGUGGGGAGCGAACAGG
rnacentral:rRNA from 1 species